rnacentral:pre_miRNA from 1 species
AUAUAUGAAUCACUUCGGGAUCUUGUUAAAAUGCAGGUUCUGAUUCAAGAGAUCUGCAUUUCUAACAAGCUCCGAGGUGAUACCAAUGCUGCU